AUAGUUCGCCCAAAAUAGCGAUCGUGAAAGUCGGUAAGGCAGUAGAGCUAAAAAUCAGCAGGAGUAAGACAUAAGAAAUGACGGUCAAAGUGUGCUAAACAUAUGGUCGAAACCAUUCAUUUUCAUCACUGCUCACUCAAGCCAUAAAUGGGUUUGCUCACACAAGCUGACGGUCAAAGUGUAGCUACACGAUGCCGCUCACAUAAGCUGACGAGUAUCCGC
rnacentral:lncRNA from 1 species